GCUGGGGUCGCCUAGUCCGGCAGGGCGGCAGGUUGCUAACCUGUUUUCCGCAAGGAUUCGUGGGUUCAAAUCCCACCCCCGGCG
rnacentral:tRNA from 1 species